CUGACGCAGAGGUGGGAAGGAGGUCUGGAGAACCUGUGUUCCUCAUCUGUCCAGAUGUGAGACGUCGCCCACAUGCCUUGACUUAUGCCUAUAGGCAGAGACCGUGUUCAAAGGCCACUACAGAAAUCUCAGGAGAAGACUGGAGAGACGGCUCAGCACAUAAGAACACUUGAUUAUGCAGAGGACCUGAAUUCAGUUUCCAUGAUGCAUCAUAAACAUAUGUGACUGGACGAGUUUCAGGGAUCCAAUGCUUUCCUUUCUUCUGACUUCCACAGGCACAUAAGGUACUCACGUAGACAUACAGAGGUCAGACCAUUGGUCCACGCCCUGGAAGAAGAGUGGUGACUGGCCGAGGCCUUACCCUGAACUGUGAGCACGGGUAUGAGAAGAGGUGCACUUUGCCGAAGUCGUCGCCUGUGCACAGGAGCUUCUUCUCGUGGGCCCGGCACACGGCAUUGAUGUCCGUUCCAUCGGAGCCCUCUGGCCACACUCCUGGAACAGAGCACAGACAGGCACUGGCAACUACAGAGCCACAGCACACAAAAGCUGGUCAUCAAGGGGGCCACGAAAAGAAUUCCACCUUCAGUCUGGGCUCUAGAACGGAGAGCCAUGUGAACGCUCCUUUCCAGCUCCUGCCUCUCUCUAGCUCCUAGUUGCAGGGCAUCCAGGCCCUGAGAAGCCCUGCAUCGCUUCUCACAGCUGUGCUAAGCCACACAGCCCCAGCAGCUUCCUGAGCUGCCUGCCCAGUGGGGUCCUUCUGUGUACAACGGCAGGUGCCCCCUGCACUGCUUGAAAAGCGAUGGCUUUCCAUUGGAAGUCCUUGAAGUGCACGGUACCUGGAGAACAGGGGCACUGUGUCCCGGGAGAGGGUUAGGGUUGAGAGCUUUGUGUAUUAGAGGGCUGCGUGCAUGCCAGCUCCUCAGUACGCAGAGCACCAGGAAAUAGGGAAACACUACACUAAGAAGACUUAGGAAUUCCUACCAGCCGACUGACUCCCCAAUUGCUUGGACCGUAGCAACUUAUUAUAAGCUAUUUGUGAAUGUAUUCCUAAGGUGAGCUUUGAAGGAAGUGAAAGUUUUAGGCUAGGGUCAAAGAAUAAAAUAAUUCUACA